rnacentral:rRNA from 1 species
AACGAACGCUGGCGGCAUGCCUAACACAUGCAAGUCGAACGAGACCUUCGGGUCUAGUGGCGCACGGGUGCGUAACGCGUGGGAACCUGCCCUUAGGUUCGGAAUAACUCCCCGAAAGGGGUGCUAAUACCGGACAAUGUCUUCGGACCAAAGAUUUAUCGCCUUUGGAUGGGCCCGCGUUGGAUUAGCUAGUUGGUAGGGUAAAAGCCUACCAAGGCGCCGAUCCAUAGCUGGUCUGAGAGGAUGAUCAGCCACACUGGGACUGAGACACGGCCCAGACUCCUACGGGAGGCAGCAGUGGGGAAUAUUGGACAAUGGGCGAAAGCCUGAUCCAGCAAUGCCGCGUGAGUGAUGAAGGCCUUAGGGUUGUAAAGCUCUUUUACCCGGGAUGAUAAUGACAGUACCGGGAGAAUAAGCUCCGGCUAACUCCGUG